CAAAAACAAACAAGGUCAGGAGGACUUCUAAACUGCAAUGGCCACAAGCUGUGCAGUCAUCCACUCAUCCCUGAACCUCCAGGCUCCCAACAAUCACAACUCAUGGGGAGCUAAUGCAGUGGUGAAGUGCAUGGACAACGUCAAAUUCCUGAGCAUCCACCUCAUCUCAAACCUGAAACUGAAAAGAGCUGCACUUCCUUCACAGUUGCUCAAAAGCUUCCAUGGAACCAUGACUUGGUCCCAGUCCAGGCCAAAAAGGAUUUGGUGAAAACUGCCCAGCAGAUUGUGGAGAGCCAGUUACCCAACCUGAAGCAGAUUGCAAAGGAAGAUGAGGCGUGGGGCUGUCAAAUGUGCCAGAAGAAUGCAGCAAAGUACCACCAAAGACGGAUAAAUGAAUCUACACAGAGGGCUACGUGUGCUCCAUAUAGCAUGCCGCAGCUGAUAGAGUAUGGUGGCUUCCGGUACUUUGAAGUUAUUUGUGCCGCAGCAGUUCUAAUUCACUUCAGUAUUGAUUUUCGCAUGUCCAGAACUCUCUACCUUUGUGUAGAGCCACCAAGGGGGUAAAAGCAUUUUCAAAGGGCAGCUUUUGGUUGAGCCACGUUUCUGGUAGUGUUGCUCUGAGCAGAUGGAUGUGGAGUGCAAGUAUAACCCGAGUCGUCACCCAUUACAGUGUUUUAGGUUAAAGUGCCCAACUGCCCACCACUCUCCUAACUGAAAAAAGCAUCUAAAAGGACAGUGAAUGAUGCAAGGAUUAUUUGAUGAACAAUCCUUCCCUGUGUAAAACAACUUUUUAACUGAGGACAAGUAUAGCUUUCCAACUGGACCUGUGACACAAAUACUCUCUUAAACAAACAGAAAUUCAACACCUCAGCAUCAGAUUCCUCACCACAGCAGAGG